GCGAAUGUGGUGUAAUUGGGAACACCGGAGUCUACCAAACUUCAGUUAUGAGUUCGAGUCUCAUCAUUCGCU
rnacentral:tRNA from 1 species